AUUGAACGCUGGCGGCAGGCCUAACACAUGCAAGUCGAACGAGUGGCGGACGGGUGAGUAAUGUCUGGGAAACUGCCUGAUGGAGGGGGAUAACUACUGGAAACGGUAGCUAAUACCGCAUACCAUCAGAUGCACCCAUAUGGGAUUAGCUAGUUGGUGGGGUAACGGCUCACCAAGGCGACGAUCCCUAGCUGGUCUGAGAGGCUGACCAGCCACACUGGAACUGAGACACGGCCCAGACUCCUACGGGAGGCAGCAGUGGGGAAUAUUGCACAAUGGGCGCAAGCCUGAUGCAGCCAUGCCGAGGGUAUGAAGAAGGCCUUAGGGUUGUAAAGUACUUUCAGCGGGGAGGCGUUACCCGCAGAAGAAGCACCGGCUAACUCCGUGCCAGCCGCCGCGGUAAUAC
rnacentral:rRNA from 1 species